GACGAACGCUGGCGGCGUGCCUAAUACAUGCAAGUCGAACGAGAGCGACCGGUGCUUGCACUGGUCAAUCUAGUGGCGAACGGGUGAGUAACACGUGGGUAACCUGCCCAUCAGAGGGGGAUAACAUCCGGAAACGGAUGCUAAAACCGCAUAGGUCUUCGAACCGCAUGGUUUGAGGAGGAAAAGAGGCGCACGCUUCUGCUGAUGGAUGGACCCGCGGUGCAUUAGCUAGUUGGUGAGGUAACGGCUCACCAAGGCCGUGAUGCAUAGCCGACCUGAGAGGGUGAUCGGCCACAUUGGGACUGAGACACGGCCCAAACUCCUACGGGAGGCAGCAGUAGGGAAUCUUCCGCAAUGGACGCAAGUCUGACGGAGCAACGCCGCGUGAGUGAAGAAGGUUUUCGGAUCGUAAAACUCUGUUGUUAGAGAAGAACAAGUGCUAGAGUAACUGUUAGCGCCUUGACGGUAUCUAACCAGAAAGCCACGGCUAACUACGUG
rnacentral:rRNA from 1 species